rnacentral:rRNA from 1 species
CGUGGGCGGCGUGCCUAUASAUGSAAGUCGAACGAACUCYGGKAUKGRUUGGUGCYUGCMUCAUGAUYUACAUUKGAGUGAGUGGCGAACUGGUGAGUAACACGUGGGAAACCUGCCCAGAAGCGGGGGAUAACACCUGGAAACAGAUGCUAAUACCGCAUAACAACUUGGACCGCAUGGUCCGAGYUUGAAAGAUGGCUUCGGCUAUCACUUUUGGAUGGUCCCGCGGCGUAUUAGCUAGAUGGUGRGGUAACGGCUCACCAUGGCAAUGAUACGUAGCCGACCUGAGAGGGUAAUCGGCCACAUUGGGACUGAGACACGGCCCAAACUCCUACGGGAGGCAGCAGUAGGGAAUCUUCCACAAUGGACGAAAGUCUGAUGGAGCAACGCCGCGUGAGUGAARAAGGGUUUCGGCUCGUAAAACUCUGUUGUUAAARAAGAACAUAUCUGAGAGUAACUGUUCAGGUAUUGACGGUAUUUAACCAGAAAGCCACGGCUAACUACGUGCCAGCAGCCGCGGUAAUACGUAGGUGGCAAGCGUUGUCCGGAUUUAUUGGGCGUAAAGCGAGCGCAGGCGGUUUUUUAAGUCUGAUGUGAAAGCCUUCGGCUCAACCGAAGAAGUGCAUCGGAAACUGGGAAACUUGAGUGCAGAAGAGGACAGUGGAACUCCAUGUGUAGCGGUGAAAUGCGUAGAUAUAUGGAAGAACACCAGUGGCGAAGGCGGCUGUCUGGUCUGUAACUGACGCUGAGGCUCGAAAGUAUGGGUAGCAAACAGGAUUAGAUACCCUGGUAGUCCAUACCGUAAACGAUGAAUGCUAAGUGUUGGAGGGUUCCGCCCUUCAGUGCUGCAGCUAACGCAUUAAGCAUUCCGCCUGGGGAGUACGGCCGCAAGGCUGAACUCAAGGAAUUGACGGGGCCCGCACAGCGGUGGAGCAUGUG